AGAGUUUGAUCAUGGCUCAGAUUGAACGCUGGCGGCAGGCCUAACACAUGCAAGUCGAGCGGUAGCACAGAGAGCUUGCUCUCGGGUGACGAGCGGCGGACGGGUGAGUAAUGUCUGGGAAACUGCCUGAUGGAGGGGGAUAACUACUGGAAACGGUAGCUAAUACCGCAUAAUGUCGCAAGACCAAAGUGGGGGACCUUCGGGCCUCAUGCCAUCAGAUGUGCCCAGAUGGGAUUAGCUAGUAGGUGGGGUAACGGCUCACCUAGGCGACGAUCCCUAGCUGGUCUGAGAGGAUGACCAGCCACACUGGAACUGAGACACGGUCCAGACUCCUACGGGAGGCAGCAGUGGGGAAUAUUGCACAAUGGGCGCAAGCCUGAUGCAGCCAUGCCGCGUGUGUGAAGAAGGCCUUCGGGUUGUAAAGCACUUUCAGCGGGGAGGAAGGCGNUCGAUUGACGUUACCCGCAGAAGAAGCACCGGCUAACUCCGUGCCAGCAGCCGCGGUAAUACGGAGGGUGCAAGCGUUAAUCGGAAUUACUGGGCGUAAAGCGCACGCAGGCGGUCUGUCAAGUCGGAUGUGAAAUCCCCGGGCUCAACCUGGGAACUGCAUUCGAAACUGGCAGGCUAGAGUCUUGUAGAGGGGGGUAGAAUUCCAGGUGUAGCGGUGAAAUGCGUAGAGAUCUGGAGGAAUACCGGUGGCGAAGGCGGCCCCCUGGACAAAGACUGACGCUCAGGUGCGAAAGCGUGGGGAGCAAACAGGAUUAGAUACCCUGGUAGUCCACGCCGUAAACGAUGUCGAUUUGGAGGUUGUGCCCUUGAGGCGUGGCUUCCGGAGCUAACGCGUUAAAUCGACCGCCUGGGGAGUACGGCCGCAAGGUUAAAACUCAAAUGAAUUGACGGGGGCCCGCACAAGCGGUGGAGCAUGUGGUUUAAUUCGAUGCAACGCGAAGAACCUUACCUGGUCUUGACAUCCACAGAACUUUCCAGAGAUGGAUUGGUGCCUUCGGGAACUGUGAGACAGGUGCUGCAUGGCUGUCGUCAGCUCGUGUUGUGAAAUGUUGGGUUAAGUCCCGCAACGAGCGCAACCCUUAUCCUUUGUUGCCAGCGGUUAGGCCGGGAACUCAAAGGAGACUGCCAGUGAUAAACUGGAGGAAGGUGGGGAUGACGUCAAGUCAUCAUGGCCCUUACGACCAGGGCUACACACGUGCUACAAUGGCAUAUACAAAGAGAAGCGACCUCGCGAGAGCAAGCGGACCUCAUAAAGUAUGUCGUAGUCCGGAUUGGAGUCUGCAACUCGACUCCAUGAAGUCGGAAUCGCUAGUAAUCGUAGAUCAGAAUGCUACGGUGAAUACGUUCCCGGGCCUUGUACACACCGCCCGUCACACCAUGGGAGUGGGUUGCAAAAGAAGUAGGUAGCUUAACCUUCGGGAGGGCGCUUACCACUUUGUGAUUCAUGACUGGGGUGAAGUCGUAACAAGGUAACCGUAGGGGAACCUGCGGUUGGAUCACCU
rnacentral:rRNA from 1 species